rnacentral:snRNA from 1 species
UGUCCUCCAUCGGAGGUCUAUAUUAAGCAGAUUCUUUUUGGUAUUGGGUGGUGGAACCGGAGCUUGCUCCAUCCACUCCAUGCAUUGACCUGGUAUUGCAUGCUUCCGGGACCGGUGC